rnacentral:rRNA from 1 species
CCUACGGGAGGCAGCAGUGGGGAAUAUUGGACAAUGGGCGAAAGCCUGAUCCAGCCAUGCCGCGUGUGUGAAGAAGGCCUUCGGGUUGUAAAGCACUUUCAGUGGGGAAGAAAGCCUUGGGCUAAUACCCUCGAGGAAGGACAUCACCCACAGAAGAAGCACCGGCUAACUCCGUGCCAGCAGCCGCGGUAAUACGGAGGGUGCGAGCGUUAAUCGGAAUUACUGGGCGUAAAGCGCGCGUAGGCGGUCUGAUAAGCCGGUUGUGAAAGCCCCGGGCUCAACCUGGGAACGGCAUCCGGAACGGUCAGGCUAGAGGGCAGGAGAGGAAGGUAGAAUUCCCGGUGUAGCGGUGAAAUGCGUAGAGAUCGGGAGGAAUACCAGUGGCGAAGGCGGCCUUCUGGACUGACACUGACGCUGAGGUGCGAAAGCGUGGGUAGCAAACAGGAUUAGAUACCCGAGUAGUC